GUACUCGAUUCUGCGGUACAUAUACUAAAAUUGGAACGAUACAGAGGAGAUUAGCAUGGCCCCUGCGCAAGGAUUACACGCACAAGCGUGCAGCGUUCCACAUUUAA